GGAAGCGUCGCAUAGUGGUUAAUUGCACUGGUCUUGAAAACCAGAGCCGCAAGGCUUCGUGGGUUCGAAUCCCACCGCUUCCG
rnacentral:tRNA from 1 species